UACGUAGGUGGCAAGCGUUGUCCGGAAUUACUGGGCGUAAAGCGUGCGUAGGUGGUUCGUUAAGUCUGAUGUGAAAGCCCUGGGCUCAACCUGGGAAUGGCAUUGGAAACUGGCGACCUAGAGUGCGGUAGAGGGUAGUGGAAUUCCCGGUGUAGCAGUGAAAUGCGUAGAGAUCUGGAGGAAUACCGGUGGCGAAGGCGGCCCCCUGGACAAAGACUGACGCUCAGGUGCGAAAGCGUGGGGAGCAAACAGG
rnacentral:rRNA from 1 species